ACUAGAAUGCUUCAACAAGCAAAGAAAUUAAGAGUUUCUAGAUAAUCUCAAAACCUAAUCCACCUGUAAACAACACAAUCAGGGGAAAAACCUUUCAUUUCCUAAUUGAGCUCCAAACAGAGCAUUUUAGAUGACUCUACUUCCCUUCCAUCUACGAUUGUAAGUUUUCAAUCCAGAGCCUUUACCCAUUGUCGAUCAACUUCUACCAUUGUCUUUGCAAAUUUUGACCAUCAUACAUCAGGAUAAUCUCUAUUCUCUGUUUAAACCCUUCAGUUGCUAACCGGUGCGCUGCUCCAUUGGCUGAUCUCUAUGCAUGCAUGAAGGUACAAAAUUGGAAAUCCUUGCUUAAAAUUUUCACAUCGUCGAUAUAAGCAAAAAUCUCAGAUCUAUCUCUCUCCUUUUUCCGUACUUUUUUUUAUCACAGUUCAGGAAUCUCUUUCAACUUCUAGCCUUUUGAUAUUCAGAUCUAAACACAUUUUCAUUGCCAUGGUACAAGCCACUUCAGCCGCAAAACGUUGAAGGUAUAUUCUCAUGAAACUUACGACACAUUUGGUUCACUGGAAUGAAAUAGAGUUAUAAUGGAAUAGAUCUGUAAUGAAAUAAAACUAUAAUGGAAUAGAGCUGUAAUCAGUAAUUCAAUUUUUUGGUUGAAUGUAAUGAAAUAGAACUGUAAUAGUAUUCUUGUGUUUGGUUGAAUGGAAUAGAUUUGUAAUAGCAUAAAGAAAAAAUUAAAAUGACCAUAGUAUCCUUAACAUAAUUUUUUUAGGUAGA
rnacentral:lncRNA from 1 species